rnacentral:rRNA from 1 species
UAUGUGAUCGUCUCUCGCAUAUCAAUAAGCGGAGGAAAAGAAACUAACAAGGAUUCCCCUAGUAACGGCGAGUGAAGCGGGAAGAGCUCAAAUUUGAAAUCUUAAAGGGUUUCCCUUUACGAAUUGUAGUUUAAAGAAGUGUUUUCUGUUGAGGUUUUGGUAAAAGUUCUUUGGAAUAGGACAUCAUAGAGGGUGAGAAUCCCGUAUUUGACCUUUACUUUCAACUUUGUGAUACACUUUCAAAGAGUCGGAUUGUUUGGGAAUGCAGUCCAAAAUGGGUGGUAAAUUUCAUCUAAAGCUAAAUAUUGGCGAGAGACCGAUAGCGAACAAGUACCCCGCGAGGGAAAGAUGAAAAGAACUUUGAAAAGAGAGUUAAACAGUACGUGAAAUUGUCAAAAGGGAAGCGUUUGACACCAGUGUUGUUUUUCUGAAAAUCAAUUAAAGAACUGUUUAUGCUAAGUUGUUUAGACUUUAUCAGCUAUCUGUUUAGUUUUGAGCUUUUCUUUAAUGCACUUUUCAGUUAACAAGUCAACAUCAAUUUCUUUUGCUGUAAAAAAGCUUGAGGAAGGUGGCUUGAGAUUCGUCUUAAGUGUUUAUAGCCUCUUGCCUAUACAGUCGGAGAGAUUGAGGUCUGCAGCGUAGAUCCUUCGGGGCUAGAUGCAUUUGUGCUAAGUUAUAGCACUUUUAUAGACAACUUGUUGACUAUGAUUUGUCUUGUAGCUUACUCGCUUAUGUUAUUUUACCUACGCUUAGGAUGUUGAUCUGUAGUUGCGUGCGC